CUGGAUAGUGAUGGAAUUGGGAGAAAAAUCAACCAAGAUCCUAUCAGGUCAAUGGAAAUUGAAGCCAACUGCAGCUCUGAUCAAUAAGGCGAAGGGGAAGGGAGCUGUCUUGCGACACACUGACAACUUAAACCACAAAACUGAAGACACCCAGUUAAAAUGAGGAUUGGUUGCCCAUACAUUUCCAGAAUAUUAGUCGCAGUGUAAAUCUCCAUCAUCUCCUUCAACAGAGGUAACAAAU